rnacentral:sRNA from 1 species
GAUAUGGUUGCUAUGACGACGUCCGCAGUUGGGACAAUUUUUUUGUAUACUAUUAUGUUAUUGAUUAUUAUUAUUAAUGUUAGAUAAAUUUUAUUAUUAUUCUAUUAUUCAUGUGUUAUAUACGAUUAUACAUCAGAAAUAUAGUCAAGGAAGUUCGACGUUAGGACCAAAUCCAUUUGUUCAUGCACUGCCUGUUACGAGCUUAUAACCACACAGGGUCCAACUAUUGUCAUCCAGGUUUUAUUGUGUUAAUUUUUCCCCUUGCUGGGAGUGUUAUAGACACAAAAAUAGAAUUCCUUUUGUCAUUUUACUCAUGUUUCCUUGAGAAGGUGCGCAUUUUUCCAUUUGUCGAGACGUAUUUUAUCUAUUGUUCAUUAAAAAUUGUUUUUUUCCUGCAUCUUGUCAUACCCCUGUCUAUAAUAAAACUUGUUUUAGGACCUAG